GGCUCAGGCUAGUAACGGGAGAAACGAGGAAAGGAAUAAUGACGCAACGAAGGAGCUAGUUUUAGCCUCGUCCUCGCUAGCUGGGAGAAGAAGGAGACUGUGUGUGUGAGGGAGAAUAUUUUGCGCCGGGUUUUCCGAUGUGCCUCAAGCCUACAUGCCUGCCGCCUGCCUGCUGCAACGCAUACUACUGCUGCUGUAGAGGGUGCUCGGGACUACGCUGCCGCCAGAGGACAUGAUGUAGCACAUGGACGUGUCUUCAGGACUGGUUUCUCCAUCUCAUCACCUUUCUUCACUGAACCGACGGUUUGAGGAAACUGCUGCUAACCGUUUCUGAAUCUCCAAGGAUUAUCAGGGGCCCUUGGAAUUGUCCUACUUUUCCUCCCCUAUGGCGCCACUGUUGUCUGGUGAUCAUCGUAGCAGAUCAUCCUGAAGCAGAUGGUGGAUGCAGCCAUUGGGAUGCACUCAAGACAUUAAGUUGAAAAACAUCCUAGUGGAAACUGGAUCCAUUGUCCCGAGUGCCUGAGUGAUUGAUUUUGGUUGUGGCUGAAUCGUGAGAAAGGGAUAUUACUAUUAUUAUUGUGGUAUGAUAUCUGGCCUCUCCUGAUAUUUUAACAAGGAUUCUCCCCCUCUUCUCUCACGUCUUGCCCUAUUUUUAAUCGUCUCUGACUGUGUCCCUCUGUCUUUGUUUCUGUCAUUGUGUAUUUAAGGUACCUUCUCAAAAGCCUCUCCAGAAUGGUUUAUGGUCCGAGAAUACCAGGCCAGUCCCUCAACAGUGUGACAGCUGUGAGCACUGUUGUAUGACCUGCUUGACCAUAAGCAUUUAUUUAAAACUCAAGUUUACCUCGACAGAGGGCUUGUCCACAGGUGGCCGGCAUCCAUACAUACAUCCACAUGUUGGCUUUUCACUGAACCCACAGUUUCACGCAUUUUGGACCAGUGGGAGGAGCUUAGGCUGCAUUUUGCAGUCACUAAGUCAAGUGAAAACUGCAACAUGGCUGAGGUUUUACACUCCAUGUACAGUGUAUCUGACUUUUUUGAAGUCGGUGCUGGGUGAGGUACAGUUGGCCAUCAAAGCUUUUGAGGGAGAACAGGUAGAUCCUCUUAAGCUACUUGACAGCUUGGUUAGCCUGAUAAGUCUGUGAGCAGUAGGGUACUGAAUCCACUGGCAAAUGUUGAUGUACUCAAAGGGCCAAUAGCUGGAUACAUCAGUCCCAAACCGUACUUUAGUUACCUUUUUGAGUCAAAGACAGCUGAGCUCCACCUUGCGCCUGAGGAUGAAAACUGUGUCCGAAAGCGGUGUGUAGACUUCACCAUCUCCCUCACUAGUGAGUUGAGGGUGAGACUGCUGGACAACAUCGAAGCAUUGCAGUACGUCAGUUUUCAAUAUGGAGGAAACUCUGAAGCACAAUAAGAGUAAUAGCCAAGCUCCUUGGCUACUCCCCUGCAGUGAUCGACAAGAUUGUCCAGCAAUGGCGUGCCAUCCAUCGUAAGGGAACAAGACAAAAAGCACACUGGGUUUCUGGAGUGAGAUUUAGAAGUUCAAGAACUUGCCAUGGCUGCUGUGUCUGUGUUGUCCUUGCCACACUUGAAUGCUGAAGUCAAGAGAGUAUUCAGCCAGAUGAGUGUGGUAAAAAGCAAACUUAGAAAUUGGAUGUCCUUGCAGACCCUUAACUCCAUCCUGUACAUCUGGUAUGGACUGAAUCUGUCUGGUGAGGCUUGCUAUGAGCACCAGCUGCCUGAUAACGUUUUGCAACUUUUUGGCACGUCAGCUGGUUACUUAUUUAAGUCUGCUCCCUCAGUUACUGAACCUGCCAUAGAGAGCCUUGACCAAAUGAGGAUGACCCACUCUUUCUGUGAGCCUGCACAGCAUGAGUGUGUGUGGAGGGGGGCUCUGAAAAACAGAAAAACAUAUGUACAAUUUUUACAGUGUAAAAAUGUUAUGGUUAAAAAUGUUUAAGUUCAUGCUGAGGAAAAAAAAUAAACAAACAAACAAAAAAACACCUAACUCUGCCAGAGUGUCAUUUUUGGUCACUUUCGCAGGUCCCAAGCCUGGAUAAAGGAGGAGGUUUGGAAUUGUUACAUUAAAUAAAACAAGAAUCGACAGAAGAAAGUUUAUUUGUAGUUCUAAACAUAUUCAGGGUGUUUUUUAUUCACUUUUUGCCUCUCCCACAACACUAUUACAACAGUAUACAACACUAUUAGCAAGAUUGUUCUUGCUCUCAAUGAAAGUGGACAGAUAUUGUUGCAGCUCUCAAAUUUUCCAGUGAGUAUUCCAUAUGGUAUAGCUAG